AACUUCGUGCCAGCAGCCGCGGUAAUACGAAGGGGGCUAGCGUUGUUCGGAAUUACUGGGCGUAAAGCGCACGUAGGCGGAUCGUUAAGUCGGGGGUGAAAUCCCGGGGCUCAACCCCGGAACUGCCUUCGAUACUGGCGAUCUAGAGUUCGAGAGAGGUGAGUGGAAUUCCGAGUGUAGAGGUGAAAUUCGUAGAUAUUCGGAGGAACACCAGUGGCGAAGGCGGCUCACUGGCUCGAUACUGACGCUGAGGUGCGAAAGCGUGGGGAGCAAACAGG
rnacentral:rRNA from 1 species